GGGUUGUGAGGUUAAGCGACUAAGCGUACACGGUGGAUGCCCUGGCAGUCAGAGGCGAUGAAGGACGUGCUAAUCUGCGAUAAGCGUCGGUGAGGUGAUAUGAACCGUUAUAACCGGCGAUUUCCGAAUGGGGAAACCCAGUGUGUUUCGACACACUAUCAUUAACUGAAUCCAUAGGUUAAUGAGGCGAACCGGGGGAACUGAAACAUCUAAGUACCCCGAGGAAAAGAAAUCAACCGAGAUUCCCCCAGUAGCGGCGAGCGAACGGGGAGGAGCCCAGAGCCUGAAUCAGUGUGUGUGUUAGUGGAAGCGUCUGGAAAGGCGCGCGAUACAGGGUGACAGCCCCGUACACAAAAAUGCACAUA
rnacentral:rRNA from 1 species